rnacentral:rRNA from 1 species
UACGAAGGACCCAAGCGUUAUCCGGAUUCAUUGGGUUUAAAGGGUGCGUAGGUGGAAUGAUAAGUCAGUGGUGAAAGCCUGCAGCUUAACUGCAGAACUGCCAUUGAUACUGUUGUUCUUGAGUACAUUUGAUGUGGGCGGAAUAUGACAUGUAGCGGUGAAAUGCUUAGAUAUGUCAUAGAACACCGAUUGCGAAGGCAGCUCACAAAACUGUUACUGACACUGAGGCACGAAAGCGUGGGGAGCAAACAGG